GCUAUAUGCUUAAAAGGAUUUGUGAGUGAGUGUUGGCUGGAGUGCCCAGACUCUGAAUCUGUAUGGAGAGUCACCCUUGCAGUACUUGGGCAGCCCCAUAUCUAAAUACUUUGUUCCUUUCAAUAUGAUUAUGUUUCCCUGCCUCUUCAUGACUGGCCCCCUUCUUGGGAUAUUACAGAACUACCCUCAGUUGCCCAAUGAGCCACUGAUGUAACAGAAUGUGUACCUGCCCUUACAGUGUCUUCCAGGACCCACUUUCUCAUGUCCUGUGUUUUUAUGGAUACAUUUGGUACUCCUAUACACACACUUUCUUCACUCCUCCUUGUUGACCCUGCCUGGAGAGGAGAGAUCCUAUAAUAUUCCUUUCGGUUAGAGACCCCCUUUGUGUUCAUUUCAUAGGGCUGCCAUAACAAGGUACACAAACUUGGUAGCUUAAAAUAACUGAAAUUUGUUCUCUCAUAGUUUCUGAACACCAGAAGUCCAAAAUCAAAGUGUUAUCAGGAUUGGAUACUCCUGGAGUCUCUGAGGCAGAAUCUGUUCCAAGCCUUUCCCCUAGCUUCUGAUAGUUCCCAGCAAUCUUUGGCAUCCUUUGGCUUGUGGAUGUAUCACUCCAAUCUCUGCCUCUGUGGUCACAUGCUGUUCUCUUCUGUGUGUCUCUUUGCAUCUUCACCUAGCCUUCAUAUAAGGACACUAAUCUUUGAAUCUAGAGCUCACUCUAAUUCAAUAUGACCUCAUCUUAACUACUUACAUUACAUCUGCAAGGACUCUAUUCUCAAAUAAGUCCACAUUCUGAGGUUCUGGCAUACAUGAAUUUUGGAGGAAUGCUAUUCAAUCCAAUACACCUCCUUUCUUCCCAGCUGGGUCUUACAAGAGCACAAGGCAUCAUUCGAGCUUUCUUGAGAUUUUGCCCACACCCUAAGCCUAUAUAUAUAUGUGCAAGCCUAUUUAUCUAAAGAGAAAAGAACUACAAAGCUAGGCUUUCGUCAUUUGAAUGCACAUUUAAGAGUGGCAGCUCAGAGAAAAUAAUGUGCAUAUAAAUUAUUCAAAGCUUGCCUGGUGGUAUCCUAAGAAGGGCAAUUAGCUUGCAGUGGGCAGGCUUAUCACUGAGGUUCAGUAAUGAUAAUAAAAGUUAACACUUGUUGAUCAUAAACAGGUUUUUAGGGAAUAUUUCAAGCCUUUCAUAAAUGGUAUCUCAUUAAAUCUUUGUAACAGUUUUGUGAAAGAAGUACUAAAUUGGUAUUAUCCUCAUUUUACAGGUGAAGAAAUUGAGACUUGCAGAAAUUAGUUUAUCAAAGGUAACAAUAUUCUUAAAUGGAUGUCAGAGUCCAGAGAUGAAACUUUUAAACACUUCAAUGUGGUCUCCUCAUAAAAAUUACAUUGUCUUCUCCAUUUGGCAGAUGAGAAAAAAUGUAGGUACAAGAAAUUAAGUCAUUUGUCUGAAGUGUUGUAGCCGAUACAUCUGACAUGAAAAUUCUGAUCUGUUUUCCCUUAAAUCUAAAUUCUUUUUAUAGCACCUGACUACAAGUUUGUUUCUACAGGGGCCCAGGUGAUGACAGCAAUGGAGGAAAGCAGGUAGCUGGCUCUUUGAGGAUUCAGCAGAACAAAACAAAACAAAAAAAAAAAA
rnacentral:lncRNA from 1 species